rfam:Jeotgalibacillus campisalis strain SF-57 contig00014, whole genome shotgun sequence.
GAACCCUUUAAAUCAGUCCAGAGAGGCUGAGAAGGAACUUGCUGCACUGCUUUUUUUGUGUGUGCAUAUGCCCUCUCAGUCUGAUGACUGAGAGGGUUUUUGUA